UAGUAUUCAAUUGUCAGAGGUGAAAUUCUUGGAUUUAUUGAAGACUAACUACUGCGAAAGCAUUUGCCAAGGAUGUUUUCAUUAAUCAAGAACGAAAGUUAGGGGAUCGAAGACGAUCAGAUACCGUCGUAGUCUUAACCAUAAACUAUGCCGACUAGGGAUCGGGUGAUGUUAAUUUUUUAAUGACUCA
rnacentral:rRNA from 1 species